rnacentral:rRNA from 1 species
UACGAAGGGUGCAAGCGUUACUCGGAAUUACUGGGCGUAAAGGGUGCGUAGGUGGUUUGUUAAGUCUGCUGUGAAAUCCCCGGGCUCAACCUGGGAGUGGCAGUGGAUACUGGCAAGCUAGAGUGCGGUAGAGGGUAGUGGAAUUCCCGGUGUAGCAGUGAAAUGCGUAGAGAUCGGGAGGAACACCAGUGGCGAAGGCGGCUACCUGGACCAGCACUGACACUGAAGCACGAAAGCGUGGGGAGCAAACAGG